rnacentral:rRNA from 1 species
GAUGAACGCUGGCGGCGUGCCAAUACAUGCAAGUAGAACGCUGAAGGAAGGAGCUUGCUCUUUCAGGAUGAGUUGCGAACGGGUGAGUAACGCGUAGGUAACCUGCCUGGUAGCGGGGGAUAACUAUUGGAAACGAUAGCUAAUACCGCAUAACAGUAGAUGUUGCAUGACAUCUGCUUGAAAGGGGCAAUUGCUCCACUACCAGAUGGACCUGCGUUGUAUUAGCUAGUUGGUGAGGUAACGGCUCACCAAGGCGACGAUACAUAGCCGACCUGAGAGGGUGAUCGGCCACACUGGGACUGAGACACGGCCCAGACUCCUACGGGAGGCAGCAGUAGGGAAUCUUCGGCAAUGGACGGAAGUCUGACCGAGCAACGCCGCGUGAGUGAAGAAGGUUUUCGGAUCGUAAAGCUCUGUUGUAAGAGAAGAACGAGUGUGAGAGUGGAAAGUUCACACUGUGACGGUAUCUUACCAGAAAGGGACGGCUAACUACGUGCCAGCAGCCGCGGUAAUACGUAGGUCCCGAGCGUUAUCCGGAUUUAUUGGGCGUAAAGCGAGCGCAGGCGGUUAGAUAAGUCUGAAGUUAAAGGCUGUGGCUUAACCAUAGUACGCUUUGGAAACUGUUUAACUUGAGUGCAAGAGGGGAGAGUGGAAUUCCAUGUGUAGCGGUGAAAUGCGUAGAUAUAUGGAGGAACACCGGUGGCGAAAGCGGCUCUCUGGCUUGUAACUGACGCUGAGGCUCGAAAGCGUGGGGAGCAAACAGG